AUGCGCCAGCCCACAACCGAGUUAGAAAUACCCACAUCCACAUCCCCCACACACACCUUCUUCUCCCCCAAAACGCACACUGCACCACCGCACACAGAUCUAACCGAAACCCCUCCCCACCGGCGGCGAGCGGCGCACCGCCGGCCAUCCAAGAUGCAGUACAACAACCUGGGCCGGUCGGGCCUGCGGGUGAGCCAGCUCUCCUACGGGGCCUGGGUGACCUUCGGCAACCAGCUGGACGUCAAGGAGGCCAAGUCCCUCCUCCAGGCCUGCCGGGACGCGGGGGUCAACUUCUUCGACAACGCCGAGGUCUACGCCAACGGCCGCGCGGAGGAGAUCAUGGGGCAGGCGAUCCGGGACCUGGGCUGGCGCCGCGCCGACGUCGUCAUCUCCACCAAGCUCUUCUGGGGCGGCCAGGGCCCCAACGACAAGGGCCUCUCCCGCAAGCACAUCGUCGAGGGCCUCAAGGCCUCGCUCAAGCGGCUCAACAUGGAGUACGUCGACGUCGUGUACUGCCACCGGCCCGACGCGACGACGCCGAUCGAGGAGACGGUGCGGGCCAUGAACUGGGUGAUCGAUCAGGGGUGGGCGUUCUACUGGGGCACGAGCGAGUGGACCGCGCAGCAGAUCACCGAGGCCUGGGGGGUGGCGAACCGGCUCGACCUCGUCGGGCCCAUCGUCGAGCAGCCCGAGUACAACCUCUUCUCCCGCCACAAGGUUGAGUCUGAGUUUGUACCUCUCUACAGUACUUAUGGCAUUGGGUUGACUACAUGGAGCCCUCUAGCUUCAGGUGUUCUCACCGGGAAGUAUAGCAAAGGGAAUAUACCUGCUGAAAGUCGGUUUGCCCUAGAUAAUUACAAGAACCUGGCCAACAGGUCUUUGGUUGACGACACGCUUAGAAAAGUGAACGGGCUCAAACCCAUCGCUUCGGAGCUCGGCGUCUCGAUGGCCCAGCUGGGCAUCGCGUGGUGCGCGUCGAACCCCAACGUGUCGUCCGUGAUCACUGGAGCCACCAAAGAGAGCCAGAUCGUGGAGAACAUGAAGGCCCUGGAGGUCGUCCCGCUGCUGACCCCGGAGGUCCUGGAGAAGAUCGAGGCGGUCGUCCAGAGCAAGCCGAAGCGCCUCGAGUCAUACAGAUGA
rnacentral:rRNA from 1 species